rnacentral:lncRNA from 1 species
GAGACAGAAGUAAAGAGGAUGAGGAUGUCUAGGCCCUUCUAGAGAGAUCCAUCAAUAAUGUGAAGUAACCAGGACUUUGCCCCAGGAUCCUAACUUUGAGGAAAACAUCCUUCCUCCCACAGUAGUUGAGCCUCCCUGAGCUAUAGAAGAAGCAGGGAUUAUAACACACACUGUGUUGAUGAGGAGAAAAUGAAACAGCUGGGACAAGAUGAAACUGUGGACUCCAGGGAAAAUAAAAUCC